UACAGCUUUUAGCAAACGACCUCAUAGCUGGGAUGAGAGCAUCAAAUACAACUAAUGUUGUACCCUACAGUGCGAGAGCAGUCCAAGUGCUAAAUAAAUCUUUACUGAUUAAAACCAAACUAUCGCUACUCGGGAGGCUGUGGUGGGAGGAUUGCUUGAGCCCGGGAGUUUGAGGCCAUCCUGGGCAACAAAGCAAAACCCUGUCUCAAAAAAAAGAGGAAAAAACCAAAUUAACCAAAACUCUGUAAUGUAAAAGAGUGCUUUGAGCUCUACAAAUACCAAGUGUUUCUUAUGGUGUAUUUUAGAGUGUAGCCAUAAAGUGUAAUUACUGGUAUGUCAUGGAUCACAGUUGUUACUCAUAGUAAGUCACUGUGAUACACACGUUUGUUUCUUCACUUUCCCUUAAGAAGCCAACUAUAGUAAUCUUGCAAAGUUGAGAAGUAUGUCCUUCAGGGAUAUAAAGAAAAAGCUGUUUCUUGACUAAAAGAGCACAUCCAAACAAGAAUUUAACUGGCUAAAAUAUAAUAAUUACUGUUAAGUAACUAUGAAACUUAAAAUCCUACAAGGGAAGUGUUUAAGAUGUCUUGAGUAUUUGGGAUGGGGCUGAGAGUCUGACUGAGGCAUACAUUUCAUAGAGUAAUAACAGCACUGUUAAGAGCUAAUCCAACCUCCCGGCCUCUGCUUGGGUCUCCGCUACCCCAGGCAGACGCAUCCUAGAAUUCUUGUAAACAUAUCUGGCUCUUAACAGUCACUUGUCAUAUAUGUUCUAAGAGAUCAGUUCUUCCUGUGAUAUUUUGCAGGUAUGCUGAACGUAGUGUGAACUUAAGGAGACUAGUCAAAGAAACUUGGAGUUACAGCCAUUUUUAAACACUAAAUCCUCAAUUCCAUCAUCACUUCGGGGGAGGGGGUACUUAUUAAGCAUUAUAUAAUAAAACUGGUUAACCUUACUCUGGUAGAACAGACAGUCCGAUUUGGGGAUUGCUGAGAAUAAUCAGAAGCUGAAAUAUGGCUCACAGAAUCCUAACACAAGUAAUUAAGACUCGAGUUACAUUUGUUAUCCUAAAAUUGUUCAUAGAAUUUUAAAAUUGAAUUCUGACUUGUAUGGUUAAGAAAAGCAGUUAAAUAUUUUACUGCUUAUCAAGGGCUUUUAAAGUAAAUAAAUCUGAUAUGAAGAAAGGCAAGUACUAUGUAGAUAUUCUGUAAUAACAAAGCCACAGAUGAUAAAGGAAUUAGAUUUUAUGUAGAAUGGGUUGUUUCUGAAACAAAAGUAUGUGGCACUUACUGUAGUUAUUGAUAAGAGGCCAAUGACCAGUAGUGUUUCCUAGAUAGAUACCCACCCUCACACAACUUUCUUCAUUAAUGUUGAAUAUGCAUUUUAUCUUACGGUAUGAUGCUCAAGGAAAACAAAGUGUUCAAAUACUCGUAACUUCUACAUUACAGAUUCUGUUGAGAUGUAAAACUAGAGGGGCCAGGGAAAAUGUAGAUAAAGGGAUACAUAGCACCAUGCUUCUAAAUGCAUCAUACUAUUGCAAAAGAAAAAAAGAGUUUUACCUUUAUUAUAAAACUUCAUCUACGGUCAAAGUAAACACUGUUACAUUUAAAUUGCUAUUUUAAAACAAUUGCAAUCUAAAGUCAAAAAUCUGAAAUGUAAUAAUACUAGACUUAGAUUGAAUAUAAUGCUCAUUUAGAAGUUGCUGUGGUCCGUUUGAUUUAUAAGAGAGAAAAUAUUUUUACAGUACACUAUAGCAACAGCGAGAGCCCUCUCCCACUCUGAUAGGAAUGGGUUUGCUGGAUGUCUACAAGUUAGAUUCCUGCUGAGUAGAAUUAGCCAUCCUUAAAAGAUUUUGAUCCAAUACUGAAUUGUUUAUAAAAUGCUUUCUCUAUUGUAAUGUACUAUAAGUAGUGAAAUUCUGUAUAUACUGCUAUUUUCUGUCCAUUGUUGUGAACUCAUGUACAUUAGUGAAAUAAAUUUUCAGCUUUCAUGUUGUUUCCUAAACAUUCAUAAAUAUAAGUAAGUAUUAAGAGAUUUCUUCCUCUCUUGAGUAACAAAUUUGGUCCUUCGCUUCCUUCCUCCCUUUUUUUUUUUUUUUUUAGAUGGAGUUUCCCUCUUGUGGCCCAGGCUGGAGUGCAAUGGCGUGAUCUCGGCUCACUGCAACCUCCACCUCGCAGGUUCAAGUGAUUCUCCUGCCUCAGCCUCCCAAGUAGCCGGGAUUCCAGGUGUCUCACUGUAGCCCAAGCUGGAGUGCAGUAAGUGACACGAUCUCGGCUCACUGAAACCUCCACCUCCAGGGUUCAAGCGAUUCUCCUGCCUCAGCCUUCCAAAUAGCUGGGACUACAGACAUGCGCCACCAUGCCCAGCUAAUGUCUGUAUUUUUAGUAGAGAUGGGGUUUCACCAUGUUGGCCAGACUGGUUUCAAAUUCCUGACAUCGUGACCUGCCUGCCUCGGACUCCAAAAGUGCUGGGAUUACAGACGUGAGCCACCGCACCGGCCAACAGGAGAUUUUUAAAAGCUCACAAUAUAUGGAGAACUCAUUUUCUUUUGGUUUUUUUCAGUGCCAAACAAAAUGUGUCUCAUUUUUUAAAGCAAUGAUUUGGUAAAGUUUCCUUUAGAAAUAGGAAGAAUAAUGGGUCUAACCUUGCUAAUAUCAUCUCUGGCAGCAUUGAGCACGGAUGGGCCAAUUGUAACUUCAGUGAAGACAUUGGACUCUGCUACCCACCAGCGAAGGACAUCAGCACCAUAGGGAGGCUCUUUGCUUUGAUCCUUUUCGUUGAGGAAGAAAAUAGAAACAGAAUGGCUUUCAAUUCCCAUUAGCUGAACAAAUGUUUUAGGAGACUGUAAGCAACGGAGAGUGGUGCCUGACCAUCUCUACAGUACUCGGCUCAGUGCUUCACACACUGGCAGGUACUCAGCAGUGAAAAUUAUUUGGUUAAGAAUAUCACACUACACUCUGGCUGGACGCAGUGGCUCACAUCUGUAAUCCCUGCACUUUGAGAGGCCAAGGAAGGUUGAGGCCAGGAGUUUGAGACCAGCCUGGCCAACAUGGUUUCAAUCUGUGAAAUACCAGUGGGUAGCAUGAGCAACUAAAACAGCAACCAAUCAUUUUGAACUUCAAUUAAGCAGCAUGAAGAUUACUAAGUAACAAAGAAACGACUGCUGCUAUCUUCCCACUGUCUUCCGUGUUUUGCAUUUAGAAGCAAAAAUAUUAAGGAUUAUUAACGCAACUUUUCUUCUGUAACUUACUGGAAGAAUGAGGCCAAUAUUCUGUCUGACUAUGCUACUUCAGUAUCAGAAAUCAACAAACAUCACGCAACCAACGCAUUGGCAGAUACACAGAAGAAUCUGUAACACUACCACAUAAAUGUAUUGAGUAAAUAGAACAUAAAUAUACCUAAUGAAAACUUGUUUGUGUUUUUCUGACGAAGCUCAUAUUUAUUUCACCUAACUUACUGACCAGUCAACCGAUGUACCAUUUAAUUGUCAGGAUAAAUUAUAGUCAAACCAGUUUGCUAUAUUUACUAAUACAUACGUAUAAUCCAUCUCAUAGUCCAGAGGGCUAUUUCACCAAGGAAUCCCCACCCACCUCAAUCACCUCAGUAAAAUUCCCUAGAUAUUUUGCCCUCUAAUAAAUAAAAAAUAAUUAGCCAGGCGUGGUGGCACACGCCUAUAGUCCCAGUUAUUCAGGAGGCUGAGACAGGGGAAUCGCUUGAACCCAGGAGGCAGAGGCUGCAGUGAGCAGAGAUCGUGCCAUUGCACUCCAGCCUAACCAUAGAGAAAAACUCCAUUUCCAAAAAAAAAAAAAAAAAAAAAUUAGCCAGGCGUAGUGGUGGGCGCCUGUAGUCUGACUACCUAGCAGGCUGGAGCAGAAAAUCACUUGAACUCAGGACGCAGAGGUUCCAGGGAGCCAAGAAUGUACCACUGCAAUCCAGCCUAGGCGACAGAGUAACACUCUGUCUCAAAAAACAAAAAAUAUUCUGUGGUCUGUAUUUUCCCAGAACCCUGAGAUUAAAAAAAUAAAUUAAAAUAAAAUAAAUGGUUCCAGGUACCUGUAGUAGGAAAAAGCCUGCUUUUCAGUGUACAAGCUUUUCUAUUAUGAAUUCUUCACUAUGUUCAUCUAUUAUCUUUCCAAAUUUUAAAAAAUAAUAAGGAAAGAAACAAGAAAGAACAGGGAAUAUAAUGAUCAGUGUAAUGAUGUGCAUUUAAUUAUUUUAUUGUAUUUCUUGAUUUUUAAGUAACUACACAAUUACACAAUUCCAUUUCCACUGAAAAGGAGAGAAGACUCAGAAUAUGAGAGUGAUGCUCUUCAUUCAUGAAGAAAAAUGACAUUUCAGGUUCCCCUGCUGAAUACUGCCCAUCUUUGGAUCCAGGAUAUCUUAAUCCAGCCCAAUAAAUUCUGAUAGAAAAAAACCAGGGCCUUUACUUCUAAGUAUCGAUAUUUAUGUAUAUCUGGUUUUUAAUAUUUUACCUGUAUGAAAGAAUCUUUUUGAGUUUAUAUUUUAGUCCCCCAAAAAGGCUAUUUUAGCAUAUUUUAUUUAACAUAUAUAAACAGUUCUCAAUCAUCCACAUUAUGUUUCCGUUUUUGAAGAAAAAAAACACACUAAUACACUGAAAAAUUUUAGAAAGCAUUCUACCUGU